rnacentral:rRNA from 1 species
CCUACGGGAGGCAGCAGUGAGGAAUAUUGGUCAAUGGGCGGGAGCCUGAACCAGCCAAGCCGCGUGAGGGAAGAAGGUACAGCGUAUCGUAAACCUCUUUUGUCAGGGAACAAAGGCGGGGACUAGUCCCCGGAUGAGGGUACCUGAAGAAAAAGCAUCGGCUAACUCCGUGCCAGCAGCCGCGGUAAUACGGAGGAUGCGAGCGUUAUCCGGAUUUAUUGGGUUUAAAGGGUGCGCAGGCGGCCUGUUAAGUCAGCGGGAAAAGCCCGGGGCUCAACCCCGGCGAGCCGUUGAAACUGGCGGGCUGGAGUUGGAGGGAAGUACGCGGAAUGCGCGGUGUAGCGGUGAAAUGCUUAGAUAUCGCGCAGAACCCCGAUUGCGAAGGCAGCGUACCGGCUCCACACUGACGCUGAGGCACGAAAGCGUGGGUAUCGAACAGGAUUAGAUACCCUAGUAGUC